AGUGAACGCUGGCGGUAGGCCUAACACAUGCAAGUCGAACGGCAGCACAGUAAGAGCUUGCUCUUACGGGUGGCGAGUGGCGGACGGGUGAGGAAUACAUCGGAAUCUACUUUUUCGUGGGGGAUAACGUAGGGAAACUUACGCUAAUACCGCAUACGACCUACGGGUGAAAGCAGGGGAUCUUCGGACCUUGCGCGAUUGAAUGAGCCGAUGUCGGAUUAGCUAGUCGGCGGGGUAGAGGCCCACCAAGGCGACGAUCCGUAGCUGGUCUGAGAGGAUGAUCAGCCACACUGGAACUGAGACACGGUCCAGACUCCUACGGGAGGCAGCAGUGGGGAAUAUUGGACAAUGGGCGCAAGCCUGAUCCAGCCAUACCGCGUGGGUGAAGAAGGCCUUCGGGUUGUAAAGCCCUUUUGUUGGGAAAGAAAAGCAGCAGGUUAAUACCCCGCUGUUCUGACGGUACCCAAAGAAUAAGCACCGGCUAACUUCGUG
rnacentral:rRNA from 1 species